GACAGAGGUGCCGAGCGUUAGGCGGAAUCACUGGGCUUAAAGCGUGUGUAGGCGGAGGCCUAAGUACCCUGUGAAAUCCCACGGCUCAACCGUGGAACUGCUUGGUAUACUGGGUCCCUUGAGCCACCUAGGGGCAAGUGGAACAAACGGUGGAGCGGUGAAAUGCGUAGAUAUCAGGAGGAACACCAAUGGCGGAGGCAGCUCACUGGGACGUUACUGACGCUGAGACGCGAAAGCGUGGGGAGCAAACAGG
rnacentral:rRNA from 1 species